rnacentral:rRNA from 1 species
AUUGAACGCUGGCGGCAUGCCUUACACAUGCAAGUCGAACGGCAGCACGGGAGCAAUCCUGGUGGCGAGUGGCGAACGGGUGAGUAAUAUAUCGGAACGUGCCCAGUCGUGGGGAUAACGUAGCGAAAGCUACGCUAAUACCGCAUACGAUCUAUGGAUGAAAGCGGGGGAUCGCAAGACCUCGCGCGAUUGGAGCGGCCGAUAUCAGAUUAGGUAGUUGGUGAGGUAAAGGCUCACCAAGCCGACGAUCUGUAGCUGGUCUGAGAGGACGACCAGCCACACUGGGACUGAGACACGGCCCAGACUCCUACGGGAGGCAGCAGUGGGAAUUUUGGACAAUGGGCGCAAGCCUGAUCCAGCAAUGCCGCGUGCAGGAUGAAGGCCUUCGGUUGU